rnacentral:tRNA from 1 species
GUUGUUGUAGCUCAGUUGGUAGAGCAUCGGUUUGAAGAACAGAGUGUCGGUGGUUCAAGUCCAUCCAGCAGCACCA